AAAGUAAUCAAUGAACUCGUUCCUUCUUUGAAGGAUUUUUGCUUGUCUUUGGUUACAAAUUUUUUUCAGGUCAAAAAAUUAAAGGUGUUCUAAGAGUGGCAGCGAUAAAAUUCAGCUUGCAGGAUAUUAAAACAUCAUAUACCGGGAAAAAUUGAUUAUAUUUGAAUUCAACGAUAUUUCCGUUCAUCAGACAAGAUGUAGAACAACGCUGCUAAAAAAGAAAAUUCAAAUGUGGAAAUUUCCGGAUCAGGAACUAACAGAGGCCAUCACUGAAUUCGAGGGUUGAGCCGCCACUCGAGGCAACGAUUGAAAUUUUAUCUAAUGAUUCAAAAUGAAGAUAAUAUUAAAGUUGGUGCGAAGAUUUUGAUGGUGUGUCAGUUUCAUCUCAGGAUAAAAACGACAUCUUCCAGAUGAAAUGGAUCCUGAUGCAGAUAAU